rnacentral:rRNA from 1 species
UACGAAGGGGGCUAGCGUUGCUCGGAAUUACUGGGCGUAAAGGGAGCGUAGGCGGGUCGUCAAGUUGGGGGUGAAAGCCCAGGGCUCAACCUUGGAAUUGCCUUCAAAACUGACGAUCUAGAGUAUGGAAGAGGUAAGUGGAACUCCGAGUGUAGAGGUGAAAUUCGUAGAUAUUCGGAAGAACACCAGUGGCGAAGGCGACUUACUGGUCCAUGACUGACGCUGAGGUGCGAAAGCGUGGGGAGCAAACAGG